rnacentral:piRNA from 1 species
AUUUGUGGACCACAAGGUUUGGGC